rnacentral:rRNA from 1 species
UAAGGAAUCUUCGGCAAUGGGGGGAACCCUGACCGAGCAACGCCGCGUGAGUGAAGAAGGUUUUCGGAUCGUAAAGCUCUGUUGUUAAGGAAGAACGAGUGUGAGAAUGGAAAGUUCAUACUGUGACGGUACUUAACCAGAAAGGGACGGCUAACUACGUGCCAGCAGCCGCGGUAAUACGUAGGUCCCGAGCGUUGUCCGGAUUUAUUGGGCGUAAAGCGAGCGCAGGCGGUUAGAAAAGUCUGAAGUGAAAGGCAGUGGCUCAACCAUUGUAGGCUUUGGAAACUGUUUAACUUGAGUGCAGAAGGGGAGAGUGGAAUUCCAUGUGUAGCGGUGAAAUGCGUAGAUAUAUGGAGGAACACCGGUGGCGAAAGCGGCUCUCUGGUCUGUAACUGACGCUGAGGCUCGAAAGCGUGGGGAGCGAACAGG